rnacentral:rRNA from 1 species
UACGGAGGGGGCUAGCGUUGUUCGGAAUUACUGGGCGUAAAGCGUACGUAGGCGGCUUUGUAAGUUAGAGGUGAAAGCCCGGGGCUCAACUCCGGAAUUGCCUUUAAGACUGCAUCGCUUGAAUCAUGGAGAGGUGAGUGGAAUUCCGAGUGUAGAGGUGAAAUUCGUAGAUAUUCGGAAGAACACCAGUGGCGAAGGCGACUUACUGGACGAUUGUUGACGCUGAGGUGCGAAAGCGUGGGGAGCAAACAGG